rnacentral:lncRNA from 1 species
GUUGUUGUUGCCACAAUCUUGCCCUUUGGUCUUUUUUUCGGGUGCAACUAUGGGUGCAAGUUAUAACAUUUCUCCUUUGUAUGACCCUUGAUCUUACAAUGGUCACAGUACUUUCUAGCACUUGACAUAUUGAUGAUGGGAACGAUAAGGCUAAAGUAGCCUUCUUAAACUUUCUCUGUUUCGAGGAGCCUGAUUUUGAGCCUUCAAAGGAUUACUUGUUACAGCUAUUUUUCUUUUCAAUAGUCAUAGCUAUCAUACUUGUGCUAGACACAUCAUUUGGUUUAUAAAGUGAGAUCAGUACUUAUACAUAGCAAUAGUCCUGAGGUAUAUUUCAUGAACAUCUCAAAUGAAUCCAUUGAAACUCCUAAUGCCACAGUUAGACGUCUAAACUCAAUGGUAUAUUCUUGCACUCAUUGGUCUCGAUUUUAGUGUAGGUUGUGCCAUCGCCUCCAUCGAUCUUUUUGGUAGCCCAUUGGAUAAAAUUCUUUUCGAAUGAGAUCCAAAAAAUUAUCUCAAGUAAUUUCUUUACCCUCAUGGGUUUUUAUAUAUGAAUUCUGCCAUGCUAAGGCAUGACUUGUCAUUUUCAGUCUUGAUAAUGAGAUUUGUCUUCAUUACUAUACCUAUAUAAGGUAAAGUAAGUCUCCAAUUGAAUGAUCCAAGAAUCUAACUUCUCAACAUCAAUUGAACCAUCAUAUAAUGGAAUGUCAAUUUUCAGCUCCACCUUAAAAAGUCUUGGCAGCCUCUCUUUUUCCUCUUCUUAAGAAGACUGAUCUUUUUUCUUUUUUCUUAAACUCAGACCAGGACUUUUAAUUGUCUCUGUAGAAUUUUUAUCAGAAUCAUCAUGAGAUUGAUCCUUCAUCUAAGAUAUAACUUUUUCCAUCUAUUCAAACAUAUUAGCAAUUUACUUGGCCAAGUCGACUAUAAGACUCUUGUGCCAUUAUAAUAGACUUAAAACUUAUGGUUCGUCUUGAGGGUCUUCGGUAAACGUUGAGAAUAGAAAAUGGUUCUCCUACCUCCCUGUAACCACUUCUAAUCUUAACCAUAUAUAGGUAGUAUCAAAAUGCUCUGAUACCAAUAUGAUCCGUACAGGAGUGAUAGAACUUGACAACUCUCAAACAUAUAUUAACUGAAAAUGAAGAAAAAGUUUAUCUU